UCGGGAAUCUUGCACAAUGGGCGAAAGCCUGAUGCAGCAACGCCGUGUGAGCGAGGAAGGCCUUCGGGUCGUAAAGCUCUGUUGUUGGGGACGAAGGGCGAAGGGUUAAUAGCCCCUAGCCUGACGGUACCCUUCGAGGAAUCAGCCUCGGCUAACUCCGUGCCAGCAGCCGCGGUAAUACGGAGGAGGCAAGCGUUGUCCGGAAUUAUUGGGCGUAAAGCGUCCGUAGGUGGUUUUUCAAGUCCGCUGUCAAAGACCGGAGCUCAACUCCGGAGAGGCAGUAGAAACUGAGGAACUAGAGACCGGUAGGGGUAGAGGGAAUUCCCAGUGUAGCGGUGAAAUGCGUAGAGAUUGGGAAGAACACCAGUGGCGAAAGCGCUCUACUGGGCCGGUACUGACACUCACAGGACGAAAGCUAGGGGAGCGAAAGGGAUUAGAUACCCGUGUAGUCC
rnacentral:rRNA from 1 species